UUGAACGCUGGCGGCAGGCCUAACACAUGCAAGUCGAGCGGAUGAAGGGAGCUUGCUCCUGGAUUCAGCGGCGGACGGGUGAGUAAUGCCUAGGAAUCUGCCUGGUAGUGGGGGAUAACGUCCGGAAACGGGCGCUAAUACCGCAUACGUCCUGAGGGAGAAAGUGGGGGAUCUUCGGAUCUCACGCUAUCAGAUGAGCCUAGGUCGGAUUAGCUAGUUGGUGGGGUAAAGGCCUACCAAGGCGACGAUCCGUAACUGGUCUGAGAGGAUGAUCAGUCACACUGGAACUGAGACACGGUCCAGACUCCUACGGGAGGCAGCAGUGGGGAAUAUUGGACAAUGGGCGAAAGCCUGAUCCAGCCAUGCCGCGUGUGUGAAGAAGGUCUUCGGAUUGUAAAGCACUUUAAGUUGGGAGGAAGGGCAGUAAGUUAAUACCUUGCUGUUUUGACGUUACCGACAGAAUAAGCACCGGCUAACUUCGUG
rnacentral:rRNA from 1 species